rnacentral:rRNA from 1 species
GAUGAACGCUGGCGGCGUGCCUAAUACAUGCAAGUCGAGCGAACAGAUAAGGAGCUUGCUCCUUUGACGUUAGCGGCGGACGGGUGAGUAACACGUGGGUAACCUACCUAUAAGACUGGGAUAACUUCGGGAAACCGGAGCUAAUACCGGAUAAUAUUUCGAACCGCAUGGUUCGAUAGUGAAAGAUGGUUUUGCUAUCACUUAUAGAUGGACCCGCGCCGUAUUAGCUAGUUGGUAAGGUAACGGCUUACCAAGGCGACGAUACGUAGCCGACCUGAGAGGGUGAUCGGCCACACUGGAACUGAGACACGGUCCAGACUCCUACGGGAGGCAGCAGUAGGGAAUCUUCCGCAAUGGGCGAAAGCCUGACGGAGCAACGCCGCGUGAGUGAUGAAGGUCUUCGGAUCGUAAAACUCUGCUAUUAGGGAAGAACAUACGUGUAAGUAACUGUGCACGUCUUGACGGUACCUAAUCAGAAAGCCACGGCUAACUACGUG